GGAGUUCGGUCCGUGUCUCAGUACCGAUGUGGGGGACCUUCCUUUUAGAACCCCUAGGCAUCAUCGCCACGGUGGGCCGUUACCCCGCCGUCUAGCUAAUGCCACGCAUGCCCAUCCCCUGCCGAUGAAUCUUUAAUCAUCAGGCGAUGCCGCCUGAUGAGGCUAUCGGGUAUCAAUCCUCCUUUCGGAAGGCUGUCCCCGUGCGGGGGGAAGGUUGCAUACGCGUUACUCACCCGUCUGCCGCUCGUCAGCAAGUAUUGCUACUCCUGUUACCGCCCGACUUGCAUGUGUUAGGCCUGCCGCUAGCGUUUAUC
rnacentral:rRNA from 1 species